rnacentral:rRNA from 1 species
UGAACGCUGGCGGUAGGCCUAACACAUGCAAGUCGAACGGCAGCACAGUAAGAGCUUGCUCUUACGGGUGGCGAGUGGCGGACGGGUGAGGAAUACAUCGGAAUCUACUUUUUCGUGGGGGAUAACGUAGGGAAACUUACGCUAAUACCGCAUACGACCUACGGGUGAAAGCAGGGGAUCUUCGGACCUUGCGCGAUUGUAUGAGCCGAUGUCGGAUUAGCUAGUUGGCGGGGUAAAGGCCCACCAAGGCGACGAUCCGUAGCGGGUCUGAGAGGAUGAUCAGCCACACUGGAACUGAGACACGGUCCAGACUCCUACGGGAGGCAGCAGUGGGGAAUAUUGGACAAUGGGCGCAAGCCUGAUCCAGCCAUACCGCGUGGGUGAAGAAGGCCUUCGGGUUGUAAAGCCCUUUUGUUGGGAAAGAAAAGCAGCAGGUUAAUACCCCGCUGUUCUGACGGUACCCAAAGAAUAAGCACCGGCUAACUUCGUG